rnacentral:rRNA from 1 species
CAAUCUGCCCUUCACCUUUGGGAUAACUCCGGGAAACCGGUGCUAAUACCGAAUGCGACCACUUCAGGCAUCUGACGGUGGUGGAAAGUUCCGGCGGUGAAGGAUGAGCUCGCGGCCUAUCAGCUUGUUGGUGAGGUAAUGGCUCACCAAGGCUUCGACGGGUAGCCGGCCUGAGAGGGUGACCGGCCACGCUGGGACUGAGACACGGCCCAGACUCCUACGGGAGGCAGCAGUGGGGAAUAUUGGACAAUGGGCGAAAGCCUGAUCCAGCAACGCCGCGUGAGGGAUGACGGCCUUCGGGUUGUAAACCUCUUUCAGCAGGGACGAAGCGAAAGUGACGGUACCUGCAAAAGAAGCACCGGCCAACUACGUG